GACGAACGCUGGCGGCGUGCUUAACACAUGCAAGUCGAACGGUAAGGCCCUUCGGGGUACACGAGUGGCGAACGGGUGAGUAACACGUGGGUGAUCUGCCCUGCACUUCGGGAUAAGCCUGGGAAACUGGGUCUAAUACCGGAUAGGACCACUGCCUGCAUGGGUGGUGGGGGAAAGCGUUUGCGGUGUGGGAUGGGCCCGCGGCCUAUCAGCUUGUUGGUGGGGUGAUGGCCUACCAAGGCGACGACGGGUAGCCGGCCUGCGAGGGUGACCGGCCACACUGGGACUGAGAUACGGCCCAGACUCCUACGGGAGGCAGCAGUGGGGAAUAUUGCACAAUGGGCGCAAGCCUGAUGCAGCGACGCCGCGUGAGGGAUGACGGCCUUCGGGUUGUAAACCUCUUUCAGCACCGACGAAGCGCAAGUGACGGUAGGUGCAGAAGAAGGACCGGCCAACCACGUGCCAGCCGCCGCCGUAA
rnacentral:rRNA from 1 species